AGGCAGCAGCAGAAUGACGUUAGUCUGACGCGAUCAGACCAGUUUUCUCUUUCUCCACACAGAUCCUUGUCUGAAUCAGCGUCUCCACCCCUGUGUGUGACCAGCAGCAUAUGGGGCAGUAGAGAGCUCCACCGAGCACCAGGAUCAGAACCCCACCAACAGCUCCUCCAACAACAGGAGGAAACACUGAAAGAGAGACUGAGAAACAACAUGGAUCAGUCAGAUAUGGGAAACAUGGGAGACAUGGGAAUUUCAUAUGACAAAUAAACUCCUUACAUGCUAAAGUUUUUAAAGCAGAUUAACUAGAUCAGAUAUAGCCCUGAUAUAAAUGAUAUGCUUCUGAAAAUCACCAAUAAGAUGGAAAACAGGCAGGGUGAUAGAUCUGGAGAGUCAUGGUGGGCUGAAUAGCUGAAGUUCAUGAUCUUACCCCAGUUUGUCUGGAUCUCUGUUUUGUUCAGUGUGAUGAUGAUUUCUUCCUUUACUCCAUAGAGCUGGAACACACAGUCAUACGUCCUCCAGUCCUCAUGUUUGAUCAAUGAAAUGUUCAGCUCAGAGCUCAUCUGGAAGGUUCCAUCAUUGUUGGGGAGGAUCUCUCCUUUCUCCACUCCCUCAUGAAUCUCCUCUCCAUCUUUCCUCCAGAACAGAUCAGCUCUGUCAGGAUAAAACCCAGUGGCAUGACAGCUGACUGGAGAGGAGGGAGUCUUCUGGAGGAGAGACACUGAAGGACGCUCUGCUCAACAAAAUAAACAUUUUACUGUUUUUCUUA